rnacentral:rRNA from 1 species
UGGGGAAUCUUGCGCAAUGGGCGAAAGCCUGACGCAGCAACGCCGCGUGAGUGAGGAAGGCCUUCGGGUUGUAAAACUCUGUCCUGGGGGAAGAAACAAAUGACGUACCCCGG